rnacentral:misc_RNA from 1 species
AAGUCGUAACAAGGUUUCCGUAGGUGAACCUGCGGAAGGAUCAUUAAAAAAGAUGUCGGAACGGUCUACGAGCUAAAUGGAAAUCUCUAUUUGGCUCUAGUCGGUCCUUGACAACUUUCAACCAACCUGUGCACUUGUUAAAUGUCUUUGGUGGGAUCACUUAACCCUCGGGUUAGGCCCCACCGUGUUUAUACACACCAAUUGUCUGUUACUAAGUCUGACUUUAAGUAUUGCUGUUUAAAGACAGUAGUAAUUAAAAACAACUUUUGGCAACGGAUCUCUUGGCUCUC